CGGAGGGGCUAGCGUUGUUCGGAAUUACUGGGCGUAAAGCGCGCGUAGGCGGGUAUUCAAGUCGGGGUGAAAUCCCGGGGCUCAACCCCGGAACUGCCUCCGAUACUGGAUGCCUGGAGGACGGGAGAGGCGAGUGGAAUGCCGAGUGUAGAGGUGAAAUUCGUAGAUAUUCGGCGGAACACCCGUGGCGAAGGCGGCUCGCUGGUCCGUUUCUGACGCUGAGGCGCGAAAGCGUGGGGAGCAAACAGGAUU
rnacentral:rRNA from 1 species